CGUAGAUAUGUCAACUUUUGUUUUGCUUGUUUUACAAUAAAAUCGUUUGGUCCAAGAAUGUCCCGCCUUCAAGCAGUUUUUGUUUUAGCCUUGAUCAUUUUGCUGUGUCUAGCACCAUCUGAAAAAACGGAACCGACAGAAUGUUACUAUUGCAACAGAAAAUGCACGGAUCCUAUUAAAAUAGAAAGAUGCCGAUCUGUUUAUGAUGAUAACAAAACGUACGUUUGUGCGAACAAAAACCUUCUAUUUCCCGAGGGUCUAACCGUCUAUAAAGGAUGUUUUCAGUUGGGUGAUAUUUUCAUGAACUCGUGCCAUAACAGCUCAAACAUUGUAUGCGUUGGCUGCGACACGGACCUUUGUAACACCGGACAAUUUCUGUAUUACACAGGACCGAAUUCUACUGGCACCAGUGUGCCACGAACAUCUUUAGAUUAUUCGUCGUCCUUCUUAUUGUCCAUUACGUUUCUUCUUGUGAUUUUACAAUAAAAUUUACAGUAACAA